GCACUGACCUGAUAAUGUGGAAAAUUCUCUCUCCAAUAGACGAGAGAUCCUGACCGGAGCAAACGUCCGCUAGUGUAAGAAGGUUAUUCCGAUCGUUAAACUUCGUUGUUAGGAGGAAACCAGUACCGUUCGGAAUAUGUCGGUCACCUUGACGGUACUAAUCAAGAAAGGCCACUGGCUGAACUACCGUGCAGCAGCUGCGGUAAUACGUAGUGGUCAGCAGUGUACCGGAAUUAUUGGCGUAAAAGGGCGCGCAGGCGGUAUUCUUUAAGUCUGAUGUGUAAGCCCCCGCUUCACCCGGGAAGGGUCAUUUGAAACUGUGGAACUGAGUGCAGAAGAGGAGAGUGGAAUACCACGUGUAGCGGUGAAAUGCGUAGAGAUGUGGAGGAGCACCAGUGGCGAAGGCGACUCUCUGGUCUGUAACUACGCUGAGGCGCGAAAGCGUGGGGAGCGACCAGGAUUAGAUACCCUGGUAGUCACGCCGUAAACGAUGAGUGCUAAGUGUUAGAGGGUUUCCGCCCCUUUAGUGCUGCAGCAAACGCAUUUAAGCACUCCCGCCUGGGGAGUACGGUCGCAAGACUGAAACUCAAAGGAAUUGACGGGGGCCCGCACAAGCGGUGAGCAUGUGGUUUAAUUCGAAGCAACGCGAAGAACCUUACCAGGUCUUGACAUCCUCUGACAACCCUAGAGAUAGGGCUUCCCCUUCGGGGGCAGAGUGACAGGUGGUGCAUGGUUGUCGUCAGCUCGUGUCGUGAGAUGUUGGGUUAAGUCCCGCAACGAGCGCAACCCUUGAUCUUAGUUGCCAGCAUUCAGUUGGGCACUCUAAGGUGACUGCCGGUGACAAACCGGAGGAAGGUGGGGAUGACGUCAAAUCAUCAUGCCCCUUAUGACCUGGGCUACACACGUGCUACAAUGGGCAGAACAAAGGGCAGCGAAGCCGCGAGGCUAAGCCAAUCCCACAAAUCUGUUCUCAGUUCGGAUCGCAGUCUGCAACUCGACUGCGUGAAGCUGGAAUCGCUAGUAAUCGCGGAUCAGCAUGCCGCGGUGAAUUUGUUUUCGGGCCUUGUACACACCACCCGUCACAACGCGAGACUGUAGAGUUUGGAAUGGUCAGGAAGUCGUAACAACCUAACCACCGAGACUUAAAACC
rnacentral:rRNA from 1 species